GAUGAACGCUGGCGGCGUGCCUAAUACAUGCAAGUCGAGCGAACAGACGAGGAGCUUGCUCCUCUGACGUUAGCGGCGGACGGGUGAGUAACACGUGGAUAACCUACCUAUAAGACUGGGAUAACUUCGGGAAACCGGCGCUAAUACCGGAUAAUAUAUUGAACCGCAUGGUUCAAUAGUGAAAGACGGUGUUGCUGUCACUUAUAGAUGGAUCCGCGCCGCAUUAGCUAGUUGGUAAGGUAACGGCUUACCAAGGCAACGAUGCGUAGCCGACCUGAGAGGGUGAUCGGCCACACGGGAGCUGGGACACGGUCCAGACUCCUACGGGAGGCAGCAGUAGGGAAUCUGCCGCAAUGGGCGGAAGCCUGACGGAGCAACGCCGCGUGAGUGAUGAAGGUCUUCGGAUCGUAAAACUCUGUUAUUAGGGAAGAACAAAUGUGUAAGUAACUAUGCACGUCGUGACGGUACCUAAUCAGGAAGCCACGGCUAACUACGUG
rnacentral:rRNA from 1 species